GGUAGAUCUUGUUUCUUUUUAGUCUAUUUUGUUGUUUUAUUAUCGUUACAUAAACUGGGCGAUUGCAAUGAUGAUAACAUUUCCCAGCUCAUUAUGAGAUCUUAUAUUUAAGGUCCGGGAAUAUACUCAUUUUCCAACAUAUAUAUCUGAGCUUCGCCUUUCGUUUCUUAAUUGAUUAUCUUAAUGCAAAAUCAAUAUGAUGUGUUUAUUUUAUUUGCUUCCUUUUGGAUUCUGUUUAGUCAAUUAUGUUUAAAUUUGGCAAUUGCAAUGAUGUUUACCUUAAUCCCAGCUCUAUGAGACCUUGGUCUUGGAUUAAACUUGGUUUCCA
rnacentral:misc_RNA from 1 species